UGAAUACGAGAUGCUACGGCGUCGAAGCAGUGUAUGUCAGACUUCCAAGAAAAGCUCGCAAUGUCAUAAAUAAAGAAUGCCUGUACCAUAACCGACACAGGUGGGUAGGUAGAGUAUACUAAGGGGCGCGAGAUAACUCUCUCUAAGGAACUCGGCAAAAUAACUCCGUAACUUCGGGAGAAGGAGUGCCUUCUUUAAGAAGGUUGCAAUAACAAGAUCCAAGCAACUGUUUAUCAAAAACACAGGUCUCCGCUAAGUCGUAAGACGAUGUAUGGGGGCUGACGCCUGCCCAGUGCCAGAAGGUUAAAGAAGUUGGUUAGCUUUUGCGAAGCUGAUGACUGAAGCCCUGGUGAACGGCGGCCGUAACUAUAACGGUCCUAAGGUAGCGAAAUUCCUUGUCGGGUAAGUUCCGACCCGCACGAAAGGCGUAAUGAUUUGGAUACUGUCUCGGAGAGGGACUCGGUGAAAUAGACUUGUCUGUGAAGAUGCGGACUACCUGCACCAGGACAGAAAGACCCUAUGAAGCUUUACUGUAACUUGAAAUUGAAAUUGGACUUUAUUUGCGCAGUAUAGGUGGAAGGCGUUGAAAGUAAUCUUGCGGGAUUAGUGGAGCCAUCAGUGAGAUACCACUCCUAUAAUGUUAGAUUUCUAACUUUGGAUCAUGAUCUGGUCAAAGAACAGUUUCAGGCGGGCAGACUGGGGCGGUCGCCUCCCAAAUGGUAACGGAGGCGUACAAAGGUUUCCUCUGAACGGGUAGAAAUCGUAUCUAGAGUGUAAAGGCAUAAGGAAGCUUGACUGUGAGACCUACAAGUCGAGCAGGGACGAAAGUCGGUCUUAGUGAUCUGACGGUGCUGAGUGGAAAGGCCGUCACUCAACGGAUAAAAGUUACUCUAAGGAUAACAGGCUGAUCUCCCCCAAGAGUUCACAUCGACGGGGAGGUUUGGCACCUCGAUGUCGGCUCAUCGCAUCCUGGGGCGGUAGUACGUCCCAAGGGUUGGGCUGUUCGCCCAUGAAAGCGGUACCGAGCUGGGUUCAGAACGUCGUGAGACAGUUCGGUCCAUAUCCGGUGUAGGCGUUAGAAUAUUGAGAGGAGCCUUCUUUAGUACGAGAGGACCGAGAAGGACAUACCUCUGGUGUACCAGUUAUCGUGCCAACGGUAAACGCUGGGUAGCUAUGUAUGGAGAGGAUAACCGCUGAAAGCAUCUAAGUGGGAAGCCCACCUCAAGAUGAG
rnacentral:rRNA from 1 species